rnacentral:tRNA from 1 species
GGACAGGUGUCCGAGUGGUUUAAGGAACUGGUCUUGAAAACCAGCGUGCGGGUAACCGUACCGUGAGUUCGAAUCUCACCCUGUCCGCCA